GGAAACACACCCCAGCUCAUUAGUGGGUUGUUUGUUUCAGAACCAACUUAACGUGGCUCAGAGAAAUACAAACAUGCAUGUCAAAUUCAACAGGGAUGUAAAACAAGUAUGCAGCCCACCAACAACAUUAAAGCAGCUGUUUAGUUAAAAUAUGUACCGACUGACACAGGUGUCAAUAUGUAAAUUAGGGGAAAUAAGUGGGCAAAUACACAUAUAAAAGUAAAUGUAAAAUAGGGGUUUUUAGAGUAAUAAACAAAUGAUGUGUUGAAUGACAGAUGAGAGCAGAUAUAAUAAUCACACAGUUUGAAGCUGCAGACAGUUUGAAUCAGACUCAGGACAGAAACACACGACCUCUAAAAAAUGGACCAAACUCUAUAUUUCAUUCUUCUUCUCAUUGCUCUCUGCUCUGUAUCUGAAUGUGUUCAGCGUCAGUAUCACUUUAUAAAUGAGAGGAAGACCUGGACUGAAGCUCAGAGAUACUGCAGAGAGAAUUACACAGAUCUGGCCACCGUUGACAGCAUGAACGAAAUGAACAACAUGAACGAGCUGAAGAAGAGAGUGAAUGACAGAAGUGUUCAGUAUGUCUGGAUUGGUCUACAGAAGACGGGUUGUGAUGAAUGGCAUUGGUCUUCAGGUGAACCUGUGCUCUAUCAGAACUGGGCUACUGGACAACCAGAAGGAAGAGAUUAUUGUGCUAUGAUGAAAACUGGACAAUGGCAUGAUAUGGCAUGUAGUGCUACCCAACGUUUCAUCUGCAACAAUAGUGAGGGUAGAUAUUUCAAAUUACAACAACAGUUCCUUUUGUUGUUACACUAUGGGGUAAUUUUUCACAAUGGGAAACUACAAUUAAAUAACCUAAAGAUAGAAUGAUGUGCAUUUAGUUGUUAAAAAUCUGAUAAUAUUCAUAAUAAACAUACAGAAGUGAUUAGAGGUGAAAUAGCUUGAUAUUUUCAGCUUUCAGUAUCUCAACACAAACCUGUAAUGGGUGAAUUUUUACUUGUAGACUAACUUAAGUCUAGUACAUUAAAUCACAAAACAAUCCAGCAAGAUCAAGAGCAUCAACACUGGAACUAUACUAAUUCAUAAAUUAAUGGUCUUACGAACUAGUUAAUACGGUGGAUGAGAAAGCUCAAUGCAUUGCAAAUGAAAA